GCUCUCAUAGUUUAAUAAAAACAUCGACUUUGUAAUUCGAAAUUUUAUACAGAGCU
rnacentral:tRNA from 1 species